UACGUAGGUGGCAAGCGUUGUCCGGAUUUACUGGGCGUAAAGGGCGUGCAGGCGGCCUUUUAAGUCUAGGGUGAAAGCUCCCGGCUCAACUGGGAGAGGUCCUUGGAUACUGGUGGACUUGAGGGAUGCAGAGGAAAGUGGAAUUCCCGGUGUAGUGGUGAUAUGCGUAGAUAUCGGGAGGAACACCAGUGGCGAAGGCGGCUUUCUGGGCAUUUACUGACGCUGAGACGCGAAAGCGUGGGGAGCGAACCGG
rnacentral:rRNA from 1 species